GAUGAACGCUGGCGGCGUGCCUAAUACAUGCAAGUCGAGCGAACAGAUGAGGAGCUUGCUCCUCUGACGUUAGCGGCGGACGGGUGAGUAACACGUGGAUAACCUACCUAUAAGACUGGGAUAACUUCGGGAAACCGGAGCUAAUACCGGAUAAUAUAUUGAACCGCAUGGUUCAAUAGUGGAAGACGGUUUUGCUGUCACUUAUAGAUGGAUCCGCGCCGCAUUAGCUAGUUGGUAAGGUAACGGCUUACCAAGGCAACGAUGCGUAGCCGACCUGAGAGGGGGAUCGGCCACACUGGAACUGAGACACGGGCCAGACUCCUACGGGAGGCAGCAGUAGGGAAUCUUCCGCAAUGGGCGAAAGCCUGACGGAGCAACGCCGCGUGAGUGAUGAAGGUCUUCGGAUCGUAAAACUCUGUUAUUAGGGAAGAACAAAUGUGUAAGUAACUAUGCACGUCUUGACGGUACCUAAUCAGAAAGCCACGGCUAACUACGUG
rnacentral:rRNA from 1 species